UACGUAGGGGGCAAGCGUUGUCCGGAAUCAUUGGGCGUAAGGAGCGUGUAGGCGGCCCGAUAAGUCCGCUGUGAAAGUCCAGGGCUCAACCCUGGGAUGCCGGUGGAUACUGUCGGGCUCGAGUCCGGAAGAGGAGUGUGGAAUUCCGUGGUGUAGCGGUGAAAUGCGCAGAUAUCAGGAGGAACACCAAUGGCGAAGGCAGCACUCUGGGACGGUACUGACGCUGAGACGCGAAAGCGUGGGGAGCGAACAGG
rnacentral:rRNA from 1 species